CGGCGGACACUACAGGAAGCCACGCCGGGAGUUCCUCUGGAACUACGGGGCAGCUGACUCCCUCGGAGAACGGCGCAGCGGCCAGGGCCACGACGACCGCACAGGACGGGACUACCGACCACGACACGACAGAGACGACUACGAUGACAACUUCCAGCGUGGCGUGCGUCGCCACCGCAGCAACUCCGCCUGGGGGAGAAUGACGCGCUGUCGGGGGACAGUGGACGACUGCUAUAGCUCCAACCGCUACCGCGACAGCAACCACGACUACACCGGCCACCGUAGCAGGGUUGGGCCACCGGACAGCAG
rnacentral:lncRNA from 1 species